rnacentral:lncRNA from 1 species
AAAAACUUCAUUUAAUACAAAUAGUUGCUUAAACAAGUAUGAAAGGCUGAAAGUCAAAAUCUGCCUGAGAAACUUAACAAAUCUGCAAGCUGGAAACCGCGUCUUUUCCCCACUCUCUGCCAGACAGAAUCACCCAGUCCACUUUCAGGGGCCCAGCAGGGAAGCUGAUUUAAGAGAAGUCAACAGCUUUUCUGACUACACUGUGGAUUCCAUCAGUGCACAGGCACCUGCAGGGCUGCAGUAAGCAUCUCUGAUGAGGUGGUCCCGGGCACUCACUCGCAGUCUCCCUCCUGGUUUCCUUGUGGGAAGGGGCUUCAUGAUUUCAAGCUCAGUUCCCCUCCCACUCCCAGAGGUGGAGCGCAUGGUCAUAGAAGGAGCAGGUGGCCAGGAGGCUGAAGGCUGAGUCUGCUUCUUCUGGGUUCACGCCACAGUCACGUGUGGUGGCUGCUGUAGCCUGCAGCCAGGUGCCAUUCUUCCUCAUGCCCUCUGUGAGUGGCUUCAUUCCACUCUGGGGUCUGGCAUGGCCCUCCCCAUCGUUAUCCUCUCUGCAUUCAUGACAGGGUGUUGGCAACUCGCUUGCACCCUUCAGGUCUGCCGUCUUGGUUCCUAGGUUGCUAGGAAAGGACCACGAGGGGGCCCGCUGCAGAGAACGGAAGAGCAGCCAGGACCAGUCGGCUCCAUACACCAGCGAGUCGGGCAAUGUGUGAGAUGUCAGGACCGUCGCCUCCUGCCUCUCCUCUGGAGUGAGAGAUGGGAGAACCCAGGAAACACAACAUCACCCAGAGCCUCUCCCCAACCUGUCACACCUGACAGGGAGACUCCAAGAACAGCCCCUCACAGGUCAGCAAGUGUUUCCUGAGGAGCCGUUGUGUCAUGCAAAGGAACCAGCAAGACCUGGGCAUAUGUUGGAGAAGAAACAGACCGUCAUCUUGCAGUGCACACGCCUGUGUGCCUCCAAGAGAAGCAUCAAGCGGGGCUACAGAACCUCACUUGAUGGUGAAGAAUACGGCAAAAGCCAGAGAGGGGGAAAGACCUCAGUUAACACUUAAAACCAAAGAACAAAGGAGUUUUAGCCAGCUGGGAAGGAAGGGGAUGUCUGAGGAACAGGCAGCAUGUGUACAGCAGAGGUGAGAAAGUCCAAGGCUCGCACGGGGAACCACAAACAGGCAGCCAUGGCACUGUCAGUGAGUGACAGUGGGCUGGAGCGUCCCAAGCAUGCAGGGUCCGGCACGCCCUGUUUCAGAGUCUGGAUUCUGGCUUGGAAAGGAGCCACUGACAAGGUUAAGUGAGCAGUUUCUUUAUAGAAGUUGCUACGGCAACUGGAAAGAGGCCACAACUGCCUCCCAGAGCACACAGCAACAGAGGGAAUGACGAGGCGUGGCCAAACCCGAGGCGAUCUGGAGUCCAGGAGGCAAGGCCAGGGCUGGCAGGGGCAGUUGCAGAGAGCAAGUGGAAGGUGAGCCAGGGGCUGCAAGGCUGGGUGGCCACUUGGGCUCUGAAAGGGCUGCCAUCGCUACCUCUGAAGUACAGGGAUUGAUGCCAGCAGUGACCGGAAUCAGAACCAGAAUGAGUGCUGAUGGAAGAAGGGCUGAGGGCAGAACAGGACCGCACUGGAUUACAAAACGUGCCGAGGUUGUAUGGGCCUGGGCCGGGGAGGCCCAACCCUGGGCCCAGGGCUUCAACUGGGCAGAGGUGGCUCCGAGGAGGAGUGAGAUGCUGAAUGUUCAGAGACAGCCACAGGGGCCCUCGAGCAGCAUGUGUGGGGCGACCCUCGGGAGGAAGCCCCUGGGGAGGCCGUUACUGUCCCUUGGGAGGUAGCGUCACAGGGCAGGCAGGACCUCCGCUAGUCUUUCAUCCAGCAAUCGCUCAACACGUCCACUCGGGCCAGCAGGACCUCUUCUACAGCUUAGGAAAAGGUAAUAAGGCAGAGUCUAAGCCCUCAGAGAGCCACAGCCUGGGAAAAAGACAGCGAAUGAGUGGACGGAAGACACUGUUGCGACCCCAAGAAUGGGAGGCCCUUUCUGAUUAGCCACAGGCCAACGUUUCCUCCCUCUUUUUAUUUUCAAGACAGGACCUCACUCUGUCGCAUAGGCUGGAGUGCACUGACCUGGGCUCUGUCUUCCUGCCUCACCUCCUGAGUAGCUGCGACCAUCAUGCCCCCUAGUUUUUUCUAUUUUUUGUGGCCACGGAGUCUCACUAUGUUGUCCAGGCUAGUCUUGAACUCCCGGCUCAAGCAAUCCGCCCACCCUUCCCAGAGUGCUGUGACUGCGAGUGUCAGCCACCGCACCCAGACAAUACAAAUUGUUUUAAAAUUAGGCCGGGCGCGGUGGCUCACACCUGUAAUCCCAGCACUUUGGGAAGCCAAGGCGGGUGGAUCACAAGGUCAAGAGAUCGAGACCAUCCUGGUCAACAUGGUGAAACCCCGUGUCUAUUAAAAAUACAAAAACUAGCUGGGUGUGGUGGCAUGCACCUGUAGUACCAGCUACUCGGGAGGCUGAGGCAGCAUAAUUGCUUGAACGUGGGAGGUGGAGGUUGCAUGAGCCAAGAUCGUGCCACUGCACUCCAGCCUGGGUGAAAGAGCAAGACUCUGUCUCAAAAAAAAAAAAUUGUUUAAAUUAAAGAUACAGGCUGGGUGCAGUGGCUCACGCCUGUAAUUCCAGCACUUUGGGAGGCCGAGGCAGGUGGAUCACAUGAGGGCAGGAGUUUGAGAGCAGCCUGGGAAACAUGGUGAAACCCCAUCUCUACUAAAAGCACAAAAAUUAGCCAGGCAUGAUGGCGCAUGCCUGUAGUCCCAGCUACACAGGAGCCUGAGGCAGGAGAAUCCCCUGAACCUGUGAGGUGGAGGUUGCAGUAAGCUGAGAUCACCCCACUGCACUCCAGCCUGGGCGACAGAGCAAGACUCUGUCUCAAAAAAAUACAUAAAUAAAGUUAUGAAAAAGGCCAGCCGAGCACAGCGGCUCACGCCUGUAAUCCUAACACUUUGGGAGGCCGAGGCGGGUUGAUCACCUGAGGUCAGGAGUUCAAGACCAGCCUGACCAACAUGGUAAAACCUCGUCUCUACUAAAAAAUACAAAAAUUAGCCAGGCGUGGUGGCACACACCUGUAAUCCCAGCUACUCCGGAGGCUGCAGCAGGAGAGUUGCUUGAACCCGGAAGGUGGGAGUUGCAGUGAGCUGAGAUUGUGCCAUUGUAUUCCAGCCUGGGAGACAGAGCAAGACUCCGUCUCAAAAAAGAAAGAAAAAGAAAAAAAGGCCUAUACAGAGUACCUGACAAAACUGGCCUGGAAUGUUGAACUCUCAGACCUGUCUUAGUUCACCUCUUCAACUUUAAGAACUGAAGGCUGGAUGCAGUGGCUCAAGCCUGUAAUCCCGACACUGAGGACUGAGUUGAGGCAGGAGGACUGCUUGUGUCCAGGUGGUCCGGGCUGCAGUGAGCUCUGACUCCACCACUGCGCUCCCACCUGGGUGACAGGACACAAGACCCUCUCUUUAAAAAAAAAACUAAAAACUCACCAUAGCCAAAAGGUGAAAACAACCCAAAUGUCCAUCAGAGGAUGAACAGACAGAAUGUGGUCCAUCAUUACCUUCUUAAAAAGAGAAUUCUGACACAUGCUCCAACAGGGGUGAACCUUGAAAACGUUAAGCUAUGUAAAGAAGCCGGAUAUAAAAAGACACACGAUUCUACUUCCAUGAAAUAUCUAGAAAAGGCAAAUCCCCAUAGACAGAGUAAACGGAGGUUAUAGAGGCUGGGGGAGGGAUGUUUGGGGUGAUAGAAAAGUUUUGAAAAUAAGUAGCAGUGAUGAUUGCACAGUAUUUUGAAUGUCUUCUUUUAUUUUUUAUUUUUUUUGAGACGGAGUGUCACUGUCGCCAGGCUGGAGCGCAGUGGCGUGAUCUCGGCUCACUGCAACCUCCGCCUCCCAGGUUCAACCGAUUCUCCUGACUCAGCCUCCCAAGUAGCUGGGACUACAGGCGCCCGACCUCAGGUGAUCCGCCCGCCUCAGCCUCCCAAAGUGCUGGGAUUACAGGCGUGAGACACUGCGCCCGGCCUUGAAUGUCUUUAAUACCACUAAAUUGUGGGCGGCAAGCCACCCAGGCACCGAGGCAAGAGACCGAGGACAUGAGCUGUUCCAGUAAAAUAAAAUAUAAAACAAGAAUAGUUAUACCAGAUAUAGAUCUUAGAUAAUGAUUAUAUAUGAAUAUCAUUAAUCAUUAGUUGGUAGUAAUUACUCUUUAUCCCAAUAUUAUAAUAAUCCUCGCUCUACAAUCAUAACCUAGGAAAAACCAGGCCAUACAGAGAUAGGAGCUGAGGGGACAUAGUGAGGUGUGACCAGAAGACAAGAGUGCGAGCCUUCUGUUAUGCCUGGACAGGGCCACCAGAGGGCUCCUUGGUCUAGCGGUGACGCCAGCAUCUGGGAAGACGCCCGUUGCCAGGCGGACCAUGGUCUAGCGGUAGCGAAAAAUGUGAAGGAAAAACACCCGCUACUUAGCAGACCUGGAAAGGGAGUCUCCCUUUCCCCGGGGGAGUUUAGAGAAAACUCUGCUCCUCCACCUCUUGUGGAGGGCCUGACAUCAGUCAGACCUGCCCGCAGUUAUCCGGAGGCCUAACCGUCUCCCCGUGAUGCUGUGCUUCAGUGGUCACGCUCCUUGUCCGCCUUCAUGUUCCAUCCUGUACACCUGGCUCUGCCUUCUAGAUAGCAGUAGUCAAUUAGUGAAAGUACUAAAAGUCUCUGGUAUGCAGAAAUAAUAGCGUAAGCUGUCUUUCUCUCUCUCUCCUCUCCCUCUCUGCCUCGGCUGCCAAGCAGGGAAGGGCCCCCUGUCCAGUGGACACGUGACCCACGUGACCUUACCUAUCAUUGGAGAUGACUCACACUCUUUACCCUGCCCCUUUUGCUUUGUAUCCAAUAAAUAACAGUGCAGCCAAACAUUCGGGGCCAGCUGUCUUUUCUUUUAUCUCUGUCUUGUGUCUUUAUUUCUACACUCUCUCGUCGCCGCACACAGGGAGAAGCCCACUGACCCUGUGGGGCUGGUCCCUGCACUAAAUUGCACACUUAAAGUGGCUAAAAUCAUGCAUUUUAUGUUACAUAAAUUUUAUCACAAUUUUUACAAAAGCAGUUAAAAGGCAGGAGACCCAGUGUGUGCCCAACAGACAAUGCUGGAGUGUGUUUAAGAAACUCAAGCAAAGGAAAUGCAAGUCAAGGGAUUAAUGGGCAAGUUCUCCUUCAAUUAUCAAGGCUACAGAGAAAAGUAUCAAGUAUUCAGAAGUCUAGGAAACACCACCGAGGGCCUCUCCUAAGCGUCUCUCAGGAGGCAAGCUCUAUCCAAACAGGCGGUGGCUGGGAACAGCUGUCACCAGGAUGGAUGGGAGCACAACAAAUAGUCAAUUGCGAGCUGAGACUUAGGAAAAAACAGGUGGGGCAAGGACAGAAAAAUAAU